rnacentral:rRNA from 1 species
UACGGGGGGAGCAAGCGUUGUUCGGAUUUACUGGGCGUAAAGGGCGCGUAGGCGGUCGUGACAAGUCACUUGUGAAAUCUCCGGGCUUAACUCGGAACGGUCAAGUGAUACUGUCGGACUAGAGUACAGAAGGGGCAACUGGAAUUCUCGGUGUAGCGGUGAAAUGCGUAGAUAUCGAGAGGAACACCUGCGGCGAAGGCGGAUCGCUGGGCCAACACUGACGCUGAGACGCGAAAGCGUGGGGAGCAAACAGG